UGUCGUGAGAUGUUCGGCUAAGUCCGGCAACGAGCGCAACCCACGUCCUUAGUUGCCAGCAGUUCGGCUGGGCACUCUAGGGAAACUGCCCGUGAUAAACGGGAAGAAGGUGUGGAUGACCUCAAGUCCUCAUGGCCCUUACGGGUUGGGCUACACACGUGCUACAAUGGCUGUGACAAUGGGUUAAUCCCAAAAAACUGUCUCACUUCGGAUUGUUCUCUGCAACUCGAGAGCAUGAAAUCCGAAUCCCUAAUAAUCGCAUAACAGCAUGACUCGUUGAAUACAUUCCCAGGACGCGGUGAAUACGUUCCCGGGA
rnacentral:rRNA from 1 species